rnacentral:rRNA from 1 species
GUAGGGAAUAUUGGGUAAUGGAUGCAAGUCUGACCCAGCCAUCCCGCGUGCCGGAAGAAGGCCCUCAGGGUUGUAAACGGCUUUUGACGGUGAAGAACCGACAGGAUGCGUCCUGUUUUGACGGUAGCCGUUGAAUAAGCACCGGCUAACUCCGUGCCAGCAGCCGCGGUAAUACGGAGGGUGCGAGCGUUGUCCGGAUUUAUUGGGUUUAAAGGGUGCGUAGGCUGGAAGGUCAGUCAGCGGUGAAAAGCUAUCGCUUAACGAUAGUCUUGCCGCAGAUACUUCCUUUCUUGGAUGAGGAGGAGGCCACUGGAACGGAUGGUGUAGCGGUGAAAUGCAUAGAUAUCAUCCAGAACACCGAUUGCGAAGGCAGGUGGCUGUACCUUAAUCGACGCUGAUGCACGAAAGCAUGGGGAGCAAACAGGAUUAGAAACCCCUGUAGUCC